rnacentral:rRNA from 1 species
CUGGCGGCGUGCCUAAUACAUGCAAGUCGAACGGUCUUUCUAUGGAAGCUUGCUUCCACUGAGAAGAUAGUGGCGAACGGGUGAGUAACACGUGGGUAACCUGCCCAUAAGAGGGGGAUAACAUCCGGAAACGGGUGCUAAUACCGCAUAGUUUUCUUGAUCGCAUGAUCGGGAAAGGAAAGACGGCCUUUGUGCUGUCGCUUAUGGAUGGACCCGCGGCGUAUUAGUUAGUUGGUGAGGUAACGGCUCACCAAGACGAUGAUACGUAGCCGACCUGAGAGGGUGAUCGGCCACAUUGGGACUGAGACACGGCCCAAACUCCUACGGGAGGCAGCAGUAGGGAAUCUUCCGCAAUGGACGAAAGUCUGACGGAGCAACGCCGCGUGAGUGAAGAAAAGGUUUUCGGAUCGUAAAACUCUGUUGUCAGAGAAGAACAAGUUGGAGAGUAACUGCUCCAGCCUUGACGGUAUCUGACCAGAAAGCCACGGCUAACUACGUGCCAGCCGCUGC